AAUAGAUACCCAGGUAGUCCACGCCGUAAACGAUGAGUGCUAAGUGUUAGAGGGUUUCCGCCCUUUAGUGCUGCAGCUAACGCAUUAAGCACUCCGCCUGGGGAGUACGGCCGCAAGGCUGAAACUCAAAGGAAUUGACGGGGGCCCGCACAAGCGGUGGAGCAUGUGGUUUAAUUCGAAGCAACGCGAAGAACCUUACCAGGUCUUGACAUCCUCUGCCAACCCUAGAGAUAGGGCGUUCCCCUUCGGGGGACAGAGUGACAGGUGGUGCAUGGUUGUCGUCAGCUCGUGUCGUGAGAUGUUGGGUUAAGUCCCGCAACGAGCGCAACCCUUGAUCUUAGUUGCCAGCAUUCAGUUGGGCACUCUAAGGUGACUGCCGGUGACAAACCGGAGGAAGGUGGGGAUGACGUCAAAUCAUCAUGCCCCUUAUGACCUGGGCUACACACGUGCUACAAUGGAUGGUACAAAGAGUUGCGACGCCGNGAGGUAACGCAUCUCAAUAACGCUAUUCUCGUAGUCGGUAUUA
rnacentral:rRNA from 1 species